UACGUAGGGACCAAGCGUUGUCCGGAAUUACUGGGCGUAAAGCGCGUGCAGGCGGAUGGGGAUGUGCCAUGUGAAAGCGCCGUGUUCAACGCGGCGAGGCCACGGUAAACACUUCAUCUGGAGGCUCCGAGAGGGUGGUAGAAUUCCCGGUGUAGUGGUGAAAUGCGUAGAGAUCGGGAGGAAUACCAAUGGCGAAGGCAGCCACCUGGCGGAGACCUGACGCUGAGACGCGACGGCGUGGGGAGCAAAC
rnacentral:rRNA from 1 species